CCGCAAAGACGUCGAACGGAGCCCCCCCAUGCUUGCCAUGGGGACAGCUAGCCCCGCCCCCGCGCCAUUCUGGGCAGGUAGCUCCGCCCCUGGAUGUGAUUAACUAGGCAGGAAGAGUUGAGUUUAAUACUUUAAUUAGUUAUCCAUACUUUGACCUAUUCACACACUAAUGUACAUCAAUUAACUUUUCUGCACUUGAUUACAAAAAUAAUAAUGACAAGCAGCUGAAUGUGUUAGGGUACUCCUUUGGAAAGCAUUACAUUUUAGGAUAAUGAAGUGUCUGUAGUGUAAUAUCGGUGAUAUCUCAUUCAUAUACACAUAUAUUAUCUGUUGUCACUGUGGUCUUUGAGCCAGCCCUUAUGCAGGAACAUAAAGGUAAAGGUAAAGGGAUCCCUGACAGUUAAGUCCAGUCGCAAACGACUCUGGGGUUGCGGAACUCAUCUCGCUUUACAGGCAGAGGGAGCAAGCGUUCGUCUGCAGACACUUUUUCUGGCCAGCAUGACUAAGCCGCUUCUGGUGCAACAGAGCACGAAAAGCAGAGCAGCGCACAGAAACACUGUUUACCUUCCCGCCGGAGCGGUGCCUAUUAAUCUACUUGCACUUUUUGGUGUGCUUUCGAACUGCUAGCUUGGCAGGAGCUGGGACCGAGCAACAGGAGCUCACCCCAUUGUGGGGAUUCAAACCACCAACCUUCCUAUCAGCAAACCAAAGGCUCAGUGGUUUAGACCACAGCGCCACCCACGUCCCUUUUUAUGCAGGAACAUACACAAUUGCAAAUUGCAAAGGAAAUGUGGAAACCUGAAUUAAAAUUUGGAAAAAUGAGAAAUGUAGAGAUCCAAAAUCAACAGGUUCAUACAUCCCUACACAGAACCAAUAUAUGAGUCUAGUAUUUGUCCAGGAGGUCUGGGCCAAGAGCAGGCCACAAUUUGGUGAAUUGGUACAUGCUAGGGAAACUCCAGGAGGGGUACCAAGCACACAGAAACCUCUAAGAGCACAUCAUUUCAAGUUGUUACUUGCAGGAAAACACAUCCAAAACAUGUCCUGCAUAUCAUAGAUGGGGGAAGAACAGGAGCCUGUACAAAUGGCAAAAGACAGAAAGCGAAAUUAUAAGACAAGAUUCUUUAUCAGUAUGGAUGAAGUUACAUGGUUCAGCCACAGGAGGGCGAGCUGGCAUCAUCCAUGUUGCACACUCUCCCUUAGAUUUCUCAAUUGUUUUGGUAACACCAGCAGUUAUUCUAGGAACCAUGCAGUGAAAAAGAUCACAAAAAAAUAAGCCAAUCAACAGUUGGCUGAAAGCUCCCCCGCCCCCUUUUGUCAUUCUAGAAAAACAGAUCAUGGGCCUCCGAAACAGACCUCCGGAACGAAUUAAGUACUUAACCCGAGGUACCACUGUAUAAGGAAGCUGUAUAAGCCCUGUAUAAGGAAGCUUUUUAAUGUGUAGAAAUCAAACUUCAGACACAAUAAAAACAAGAAAAGAAAAGAAAAGAAAAGAAAAGAAAAGAAAAGAAAAGAAAAGAAAAGAAAAGAAAAGAAAAAGAAAAUUGUCUCCUUCCACAAUCACAUUUAAAAGGACAUACACUGUUAUGAACAUUUUCGCCUGGAGCCUAAAAAUAUAUAACGAAGGUGUCAGGCAAACUUCCCUGGGGAGAGCAUCCCACAAAUGGGGAGCCACUACAGAAAAGGCCCUUUCUCCUGUUGCCCCCCUCCAGACCUCUUGUGGAGGAGGCACAUGAAGAAUGGCCUCAGAUGAUGAUCGCAGGGUGUGGGUCGGUUCAUAUGGGGAGAGGCGAUCCUUGAGGUAUUGCAGUCUUCAGCCUUCUAAGGCUUCAUAGGUCCAAACCAGCACUUUGAAUUGGGCCCGGAAACUAACUGGUAGCCAGUGCAGUCGGACCAGGAUCGGUGUAAUGUGACCAUGCUGUCUUGCUCCAGUGAGCAACCUGGCUGCUGAAUUCUGCAUCGGCUGAAGUUUCCGAACCGUCUUCAGAGGCAACCCUACGUAUAACACUUUGUUUGAAAUAAGCUCUACUAUGCUGAAUGGGUAUUAUUCCAUCCAUGUACAUGCAGGACUGUUGCAUGGAAGUCAAUGAGACUUCACUGUAUCCUUAAAUGCUUAGGUCCGAUUGUUUUCUUUGGCAUACAGGUUCUUUUCUAUCCUACUGCAACUGUCCCCAAAGUACUGCUCCUUAAACUCUUGCUCCAACCUGUUGUCCCAAAGAGUCCACGCUAGUCCACCCAGGAGGCAAUGUGAAGAUCCACAAGGACAGCAGGUCCCAAUGUCCCCCCCCCCGUUUUUGUUGGUGGGGAGGGGGAGGCAUUUUGCAGUUUCCUCAGGUGCCAACGUGAAUGGGUCCGGCCCUGAAAAGCAUGACUUUGUUCUGUUUUGUUGUAAAGCUCCCAGAGAAAGCAUCCCCACCUCUUCUCAACUGGGGUCUGCCGAAUGCAUUGGUAGGCAAACUAAGGCCCGGGGGCCAGAUCCGACCCAAUUGCCCUCUAAAUCCGCCCUGCGGGCAGUCUGGGAAUCAGCGUGUUUUUACAUGAGUAGAAUGUGUCCUUUUAUUUAAAAUGCACCUCUGGGUUAUUUGUGGGGCAUAGGAAUUCAUUCACCUUUUUUUCAAAAUAUAGUCCGCCCCCCCCCCCCAAGGUCUGAGGGACAGUGGACUGGCCCCCUGCUGAAAAGGUUUGCUGACCCCUAAUGCAAAUUGUCCGUCCCUCCCGGUGCUGCCCUUUAGGCAGGGACUCUUGCUUGCUUGCCUGUGUAAGCUGAAUCCUGGAUUUCAUCUAUCCAUGGCUAGAUCUCCUCCCAGUGUGUAUGUUCAUGAGAUGUGGACUUGACAGGUCCCAAAAUGUCACAACAAUGGGGAAACUUUUCAGAUCCCAUUACAUUCAUACAUCAUUUCCUCAGGUUCUGAAUUCCCCCUCCCCGACAAGACUUCAGUGUUGACAUCGGUCACCAUGGAGACGAGAACCUUAAUACUCCUCUUUAGUAUCAAGCAGAGCACUCAGGCAAUCAGAUUCUUUCUCAUGGUGGGGUAAGCAGGGGGGUACCUCCUGCAUCAGAUACAAGAUCAGGUUUUUGUGGAGAGUCAUUGUGAACUCAGCUGGGGAGAUGAAAUAAUAACCUUCUUUUUUACCAGCGUCAGAACAGCAGGCCUGUUUUGUAAGUUCAAGUGAAAGACUGUGCCAAUUCUUCCAGCUUUCUCCUGAGCUGCUCUGACAACCUGAAGGGCAGAUCUACACCUUUCAUUUAACACACACACACACACACACACACACACACACACAGUGCUGGAUUUACGUAUAAGCUAAACAAGCUAUAGCUUAGGGCUCCACUCUCUUGCCCCCCCCCCAAUAAUUAAAGAAAAAAAACACCUGGAUGUACAUUUCCAAAAUAUAAGAUAAAAAAUAAAUAAAAUAAAUACAGCAUACAGCAACAGUGUUUUGUGUUGUGUAGGCUCCUAUGAUGUAAGAAAUGGGCCCCGCCUGUCAGCCUGCUCCCUGUGGGUUAAACCACAGAGCCUAGGACUUGCCGAUCAGAAGGUUGGCGGUUCGAAUCCCCAUGACGGGGUGAGCUCCUGUUGCUCGGUCCCAGUUCCUGCCAACCUAGCAGUUUGAAAGCACGUCAAAGUGCAAGUAGAUAAAUAAGUACCGCUCCAGCGGGAAGGUAAACGGCGUUUCCGUGUGCUGCUCUGAUUUGCCAGAAGCAGUUUAGUCAUGCUGGCCACAUGACCCGGAAGCUGUACGCCGGCUCCCUCGGCCAAUAAAGCGAGAUGAGCGCCGAAACCCCAGAGUCGGCCACAACUGGACCUAACGGUCAGGGGUCCCUUUACCUUUACCUGUGAUGGCCUGGGAAUCCGAUUCAGAGGCUGAACCGGAGGAAUCCCAGCCUGCACAGGAGUACCCACCUCCAGGGCCGGCUGAGCUGGAGCAGGGCCUUGAUUCUGAAGCGCCUGCACCUGUGCCGGAUCCUCAGGAGCAGGCACCAGGUGAAUCCACUCUGGCUCCGGAGGCGAUUGAGGACGCAUUGCCUACAGGUGCGCCUCUCCCAGCCCUGUCAGGGGAAAGUGAGUCUCCCCCUGGUGCCAGUAACCCACCGGCCUCUCCUGAGCUGCAGAGGCUCAGAGCAGAGAGGCGGAGGGAACUGGUUUCUCCCAGGAGGAGUGCUCGCCUUAAGGCCAGGAGAGGCGGGUCUCCUGGGGGCCGGGACCGCCCCUGGCCUCAGAGAAGAUAAAGGCCAGUCAGCCCGGUCCCAGGUUGCGGGAGCAACGUCGUUGAAGAGCUGUUUCAGCCAGCACCCAGUCCGGUUCCCCCAGAGUUCCUGUCCUUGCCCGGCUCCUCGCUGUGGACCCCGCUUUGCCCGUGGAGGACUGUCUGCCGACCCUCGACUCAGGUCCUGGACCUCGCCCCACGGUAACCUCCCCCCUGGACCAGCACAUUACCUAUAUUUGGGUGCCUACAUUCUGCAUGGACUGAUUGCAUGCCAACAUGUGCAAAUGGCUUUAGAAACCUAUUAGGUCCAUAAAUUACCAUAUAGCAUAUAUCCAACACAAAAAACAGCGACAAUUUGUUAUUGACAAAGGACAGCUGGACAUAUAAAGAGCCCCAUUACCUUCAGUAGCUUAGGGCCUCAUCAACCCUAAAUCUGGCCCUGACCCCAUCCCCCAAGAAUCCUGAGAAAAACUUCUCCCUCACAGAGCUACAAUCCCCAGCACCCUUCACAAACUACAGUUCCCACGAUUCUUUGGAGAGAGCCAUGAAUUUUAAAUGGGCAUUUGAUGCGCUUUAAAUUUAUGCUACAGAUCUCCCCAUUGACUCACGGUUUAGAAGCCCUGAGGGCUAGCAAGUUAUGAUGGAUGGAGAGUCGGGUUUGGACCAGAGAAACUCACUAAAUCCUAAAGAUUGUUGAGUGUCCUUCAGCCUCUCACAAUCUCUCAGCCCAACAUCCCCAUCUGUCCCCACCCCACCCCAGGCAGUUUUCAGCAUAAAAUGUGAAAACCUGUUCAAGAGAUCCUGAGCUGCUGUGAACAAAAUGUUGGGUACAAAUCUGAUAAAGUAAGAGUGUUACCUGCGUGGCAGAGAAGCCACUUCUCCUGGAACAAUCGCAUUGUCUAAGCAUAUUGGAUUGUUUCGUUUCUCCGAUAGCCUGCUCUCGCUCAGAGCAGCAUAUAGCAGACUUUUUUAAAUAUGAAUAGUUUUCUUGCCCAGGGCUUCACAAGGAAAUCAAAUGGUUUGAUAAAAGAGACCAAAUGAACUUAAAUGACACUAUGAACAUUAGAUUGUUGACUAUAUAUAAAAUAUAUAAAAUAUUAUAACCAAACAGUACCAAAAACCCACCAAAGGACAGCCCUUUUUCCAAGCAACUACCUCUUUAUUGAAAAGGUGCUGCAGCAGAGCAGUAUGGGCUGGCAGGGGAGCACAGCUCAGUUUCAUGUGAGGUGCUUAUUUUAUUCAUUAAAUUUCUAUACCACCCUUCAUGCAAGAUCACAGGGUGGUUGGUGGUGUUUCUGAAGCUCUGCUUAGGAAGUAGAUUGAAGUGGGGAACUUAUUGGCCUUCCAGGUGUUGCUGAACUACAAUUCCCAUCAUCUCUGACCAUUGACCAUGCUGGCUGGGACUGAUGGGAGUUGAAAUCCUACAAUACUUGGAGGGCCACAGGCUUCCUAUCCCUGAAGAAGAUGGAUCCCCAUCCCCAGACCCUGGAAUGGUUUUUUCUCUUCUGCAGCAACAGUGUUGACAUCAGAAAAGGUGGCGCAGAUUUAAUCAAGCAGAAUGGGGAGCAGAAGCAAAGCGGUUUGUUUCCAUGCUAGUGCCUUCAGCUCCAAGAGAGAUAAUGGUGAAGCAGCAAUAUUAGGCAUACCAUCAUUGCACCAUUGAACCAGCUAUAGUGUGAUAAAAGAAGAUCAGCAAUGUCCCUGCCAGGCCAUCAAAAAAAUCAAUGCAUAUGCGUGCACCUUUGAUUCAAAAGUUAAUUCUGCUAUGAUUAUGGUAGCUAUAAUUGUGUCCUAUAUGCAACAUUUAGGGAGAGUGCUGCUGUUGCACUCAAGCCCUGCUUGUGGGCCUCCCAUAGGCACCUGGUUGGCCACUGAGAGAACAGGAUGCUUCACUAAAUGGGCCGUUGGCCUGAUACCUGGGAGCUCCCAGAGAGGAGCUGACAGGUACUUUGCUCCUCUGUGGUCUUUCCUGCUGCUGCAGCGGCUGCAUUAAGCCAAGCCAAAGUUUGCCUUAGCACGUCGACUGUCUUAGUCCACAGACUUAGCAGCGAACACCCACCUGCUAGGUGUUCGGAAACAUCAAAUGACCCUUGAUACAGAAAAGCAUUUUCAAAGGCUAGCUUCAGUGCUUUGCCAUCAGUAGUUACAUAAGGUUUUUCCCAGACCAAGUUGGCACCUGAGAGUUUGCCCUUGAAAAAGUGGCUCGCUUUCAACUUUAGCCAGUGUUCUCCUAUACUGUGAUUUUUAUAGGGAUAUAAUACUGUAUCCCAUUUUAUAUCUCAUUGACUUUCACUAUACUUAGGGAACUCAUAUGAAGUUUAUGUCUCCAUUUUAAUGAGAGAGUCCAACCAUUACAGAUCACAGGAAAUAUAGCAACAUUCCUCACAGUAGCCAUCAAAACCAGGUCACAAUUCUUAAAGGGAAGAUUUUUGAGUCAUUUUAAAUAUAUAUUAUUUAUGGAUUUUGCUGUGCUCUCAUUUUAAAAGACACCAAUUGUGUGUGCGCAUAUUCUCCCCCUCCUCCUCCAAUAGCUGCCUUGAAAACACUACACUGUAUUAGAUGUUUAUGGUCUGCAGACCAUAAACUGAAAUGAAUUUAUUGGCCUUUGCAUUCAAGGACAGCAUUGCAUAAGCUACUGCAAAUCUAGCUUCUGUGUUUUUAUUUUUUCUCUUUGAACAAUGCUGCUGAUUGAAUUCAGAGUUACUCCCCAGUCUCAACAAUGUGAUGCACCCGUCUGAGUUCCAUGCAGUCACAGCAGUGACUAAGAAUGGCUGAAUCUGUCAAUCAAUUUGGGUUUCUCUCCAUCAGGGCAGGUCCACCCACAAGGCAAGGUGGGGCACUGCCUCAGGUGGCAGGAUCCACAGGGACAGCAGAUUUGGCUUCCAUGGAAUGCAUCACCUUCUGCUGCCGUUGCCAUGGUGACAGUGACAGCUGUGGCACCCUCCCCCCGUGUUGCUUCUACAACAGCCUCUUGGUGACUAGAAGGCGCCGCUGGUCUCCUCCCAGCCUGGUUCCCAGUAGAUCUUUAUUCCCUCCAUGUUGCUAAUAUAGAUCUCACCCCUUCUUCCUUGGCAGUGGGAGGUGGGGGCACCUCAGGUGCCAAAAUGUCUUGGGCAGGCCCUGCUGGCCAUUUCUCAUUUCCCCCCAUCUUACGUUCAGUUACUGUGGUACCUUGGUUCUCAAACUUAAUCUGUACUGGAAGUCUGUUCCAAAACCAUAGAAAGUAAAGCAAAAUGGAUUAAUCCGUUCCAGACUUUUAAAAACAACGCCAAGACGGCAAUUUAACAUGAAUUUUACUGUCUAACGAGACCACUGAUCCAUAAAAUGAAAGCAAUAAUCAAUGUACUGUACUAUAAAAUAAAUAAGACAGUGUUGUAGGUGAUAAAAAUUAAAAUUAACUUUCUUUCUUACCUAUACUGAUGAUAGUCAUUGUUUGGAUGGGAGGCUUUUAUCCAUUUCCACAGUCACACAAUCAAUCAAUCAAUCAAUCAAUCAGUAGCUGAACUGAGUUCCCCACAGUCACAAAAACAAAUUAAUCGAAAAAGCCUCAAAAACACAAAAUACAUAGCAAAAACAAAAGUGCCAAACUGAAUCAGUUCUGGAAGUCCAUUUGAGUUCCGAAAUGUUCAAAACCAAGGCACAGCUUCUGAUUGGUGCAGGCGCCCCGGAAACAAUAGCUGACAGCCGCACCGGAUGUUCGACCUCCGAAAAACAUUCGAAAACCAGAACACUUACUUCCAGGCUUUCGUAGUUUGAGAACCAAAGCAUUUGAGAACCAAGGUACCACUGUAUUCACAUUUCCACUUCAGUCUGUCAGUUUUUAAAGUCCUUGUUCAUCAGCAUUUUAUGUGCAUUUCAUCUAAUAGACACAUUUUUGUAUACAAUUUUGCCUACUAUACACAUUUUUGCAAAGCAGUUCCCUCUCAUUCGGUGCAUUCUUGUAUGUUAUUUUCACUAAUGUAUGCAUUUACAUGCUCAUGUAACCCAAGUGUAUGCAUUUUCGUACACAUUACGUUGCUGGAGAAAUGUAUUUCAAAAUUCAGAGAAGUUGUCAUGUUGCUGGACUCACAUGUGCACAGUCAGCACUCAUGUCUGGUCAUAUGCUGAGAGGUUUAGGAUCUUUUGCUGGAGUUAUAAUUUGCACUUGUUAGAGAUGUGUGUUAACCCUUGAAUGGGGGAUACAUAAACUGAGGCCAGGGAGGGACCUCUCUGUUGCUGCAACUGGGUGUACACCUAGGAGUAGCUGAGAGAUGAAGGGCUGAUGGACAUGCCUUUUCCUAACUUGUAAGUGUACUUUUGACAACAAAGAGUUUAUUCCUCACGCUGGACAUUUCUUGCCUGACAUUGCCGUGAGAGUAGUGCAGAUUUUGAAGGAUAGUUGUGUUUGGCUCAUGUAUUAGGUAAGUUUGCCUUUAAAUGUGAACUGAAUUUCUCUCUGAUCUCUAGUGACUGCUUUGGCUGUUGCCUAGUAAAUGCGUUUAAGAAAAGGCACCUGGGUGUGUUCUCUGAAGUUUAUCUGAGUAUUGCAAGAACAUCACCACUUCCCUUAAUUGUCAACAGGCAAAAGCCAAGACUGGGGGUGGGGGGACUUGUAACCAAAUGUGUUUGCUGGUGAUCAGUACUUUGAAUGAGUAUAUUGGUCCAUUAAAAGGUAAAGGUACCCCUGCCCGUGCGGGCCAGUCUUGACAGACUCUAGGGUUGUGCGCUCAUCUCACUCUAGAGGUCGGGAGCCAGCGCUGUCCGAAGACACUUCCGGGUCACGUGGCCAGCGUGACAAAGCUGCUCCGGCGAACCGGCACCAUAGCAGCACACGGAAACGCGGUUUACCUUCCCGCUAUAAAGCAGUACCUAUUUAUCUACUUGCACUUAAGGGUGCUUUCGAACUGCUAGGUGGGCAGGAGCUGGGACCGAACAGCAGGAGCUCACCCCGCCGCGGGGAUUCGAACCGCCGACCAUGCGAUCGGCAAGUCCUAGGCACUGAGGUUUUACCCACAGCGCCACCUGCGUCCCGAAUCGAAUUGGUCCAUUGUAACCCACCAAAUCAGAAAAGUACUCCCUGGGCCAAGAUCCUGAUAGAAAAGAAAAAAGAGCACAGAGGGGCAAAGUACUGUUGUGCCCCAAAACUAAUCAGAGCUAAAUCACCCACCACAGGAAGUCCUUCUGUGAAGAGUUUCCUGUUCCACUUCCUCUAUGAGUUGUCAGCAUUUCUGGGUGGGCCAAUAUGUAGACACACUUGUAAACUCCAUCACCUGUGAGCAAUAUAUUCUGGGAGCCUCUCUCUCUUUCGCUCACCACACACGCAAACAAGCAAAUGCAGCUGGUAUCCUACAGGCAUAGGUUUGCUUUCCCUGCUGAGUCACUAAGGAAAAACACAAACCAUCUGCAAUAGAUCUUUUGUCCCCAGCUCAUUCGUUAAGUAUAACGUAUCAUUUGCUGUAGCCACAAAAAUUAUAGUAUGUGCAGCUGGAAGCUGCUAGCCCAGAAACAUGCACGAUAUGCAGCUCUGGACGCAAAAUAUUUUGAAGAUUCGUCUUAAAUAUAGCUAAGGGGUUUCUCUCGUCUCCCUUACCCUAUAAUAAAGAGCCCAGCUUUAUGUUCUCAAAUUGCAGAGUGGGCUUUCAGAGGAACAGAGCUGUUGAUUUACUUUAUAACAUUCUAUUUAGGUCUCUUGUCUUGCAUAGCUCGGAAGCAUGCUGCCCAAUCCUAUGCAUGCUUCAGAAGAAGUAUAUUGCAUUGACUCCAAUGGACCUUACAAACAAGUAAAUGCAUGCCCUAAAAUGGGCCAAUUUACUGGUGAGCAGAGUAAUCCUAGAUAAGGGCUGCGGAGGACGGGAGCAGCAGAGAUGCCACCACCACAUACACAUUCUGGCUUGGGCAGAAGGCUCAACAUUUGAAUUGCCUGAGGGGCCCCCCCCACACACACACCAUGGGUGUCAGCAGAAAUGAUUAGGGGGUGGGGAAACAAAGUCUAUGACUGGUAAUGACAGGCUGUUUACUAUGUGCAGUCUUUUUGCGACUGAACCUCACACACCAUUACAUUGUGCCAAAGAGAAGCGACAAGGAACAGUGGUGGGCUGCGCCUGUUGGUGAUUUACUGUAUUGUAUUGUACAGGGCUGUACAAUGGAACGUGG